rnacentral:lncRNA from 1 species
UCAACUCUUUCUGAAGAAUGCAAAAUUUUCCUGCCGAUGGAAGGAUGCGUGGAUGAAGGCUGCAGCAGGAAAAGGGCAGAUUUAUGUCAAAUUAGAAUUAACAUGGUUUUAUAUAGGUUUUUCCACUUUAAUUUUUCCAGUUACAUAAUCACUAAGGGCAAAAUCACUUAUCCUGCUACCCUUUUUUUGUAACUUUUGCGACCCCAAUACGUUUUCUGUAACUUUCUUGGCCUUAAAGUUCUCUUAAAGAUUAGGCUUCAUGUUGCAUCCAUUCUUUUUGUUUGUUUGAUAUGGUACAAGAUGGAAGGUCUUUUUAAUUAUCUGUAGAGCUCUCAGUGAUACUGAUCCAAAGGCAUCUCACUUUUCUGCAAACGAUAGACCCCUUUUUACAUUACUCUUUGGAAUAUGGUUUCUAAGAAACUAAAUGAUGAUUUACAGAGGUUUUUGGUGUAUCCUAAUGUUAGCCUAAUUUAAUAUCUCAGUGUCUGUGGACAGGGAACGUUCUGGCAAAAUUAACUCRUAGUUGAUGUGUAGUAUGAGGCCAGUUCUGCAACCCAAUAUUUGUUCAUUAUGCUAUAUUUCAAUAGCAACUUUCUUAUUAAAAAUAAAAGAUAGUGACUGAAGUUUUCUGCCUCCUUUGGGACUUUCCUUGGCAGUUACAGUCUAAGAACUGACAAAACUAAAAUCUGUUUCUUUAGGAGAUCUCACAAGAUCAUGGUGAAGGCUGCACGUCCCAGAAAUUUCAAUGCUACUUAUAGAUGGAUAUCCAAUGGGAGGCUGAAUUUCAAGUAGAGGCCCUCUCAUGUAACAAGAAAUGGUCAUUAAAGACUUCUGUUGAAGAGCAGAAUUGGGUGUUCAGUAAGUCUUACAGUGAAAAAGAAGUGACCUUCUCUGUUACAAGUGAAUUGAACAGGAUCUUGAGAAAGGGCAGACUUCCAGAAAUACCCUUGCAGUGACAGUGCACCUGUAUAGAAUUAUGC